ACAAAUGAAAACGGGGCCACAGAGUGGUGU
rnacentral:piRNA from 1 species